rnacentral:rRNA from 1 species
GAUGAACGCUGGCGGCGUGCCUAAUACAUGCAAGUCGAGCGAACAGACGAGGAGCUUGCUCCUCUGACGUUAGCGGCGGACGGGUGAGUAACACGUGGAUAACCUACCUAUAAGACUGGGAUAACUUCGGGAAACCGGAGCUAAUACCGGAUAAUAUAUUGAACCGCAUGGUUCAAUAGUGAAAGACGGUUUUGCUGUAACUUAUAGAUGGAUCCGCGCCGCAUUAGCUAGUUGGUAAGGUAACGGCUUACCAAGGCAACGAUGCGUAGCCGACCUGAGAGGGUGAUCGGCCACACGGGAACUGAGACACGGUCCAGACUCCUACGGGAGGCAGCAGUAGGGAAUCUGCCGCAAUGGGCGAAAGCCUGACGGAGCAACGCCGCGUGAGUGAUGAAGGUCUUCGGAUCGUAAAACUCUGUUAUUAGGGAAGAACAAAUUUGUAAGUAACUAUGCACGGCUUGACGGUACCUAAUCAGAAAGCCACGGCUAACUACGUG